rnacentral:rRNA from 1 species
AUUGAACGCUGGCGGCAGGCCUAACACAUGCAAGUCGAGCGAGCGGCGGACGGGUGAGUAAUGUCUGGGAAACUGCCUGAUGGAGGGGGAUAAAAACUGGAAACGGUAGCUAAUACCGCACACCAUCAGAUGUGCCCAGAUGGGAUUAGCGAGUAGGUGGGGUAACGGCUCACCUAGGCGACGAUCCCUAGCUGGUCUGAGAGGAGGACCAGCCACACUGGAACUGAGGCACGGUCCAGACUCCUACGAGAGGCAGCAGUGGGGAAUUUUGCACAAUAGGCGCAAGCCUGAUGCAGCCAUGCCACGUAUGUGAAGGAGGCCUUCGAGUUGUAAAGCACUUUCGGCGGGGAGGCGUUACCCGCAGGAGAAGCACCGGCUAACUCCGUGCCAGCCGCCGCGGUAAUAC